rnacentral:rRNA from 1 species
UGGGGAAUAUUGCACAAUGGGCGAAAGCCUGAUGCAGCGACGCCGCGUGAGGGAUGACGGCCUUCGGGUUGUAAACCUCUUUCAGUAGGGACGAAGCGCAAGUGACGGUACCUGCAGAAGAAGCACCGGCUAACUACGUGCCAGCAGCCGCGGUAAUACGUAGGGUGCGAGCGUUGUCCGGAAUUACUGGGCGUAAAGAGCUCGUAGGCGGUUUGUCACGUCGUCUGUGAAAUCCUAGGGCUUAACCCUGGACGUGCAGGCGAUACGGGCUGACUUGAGUACUACAGGGGAGACCGGAAUUUCUGGUGUAGCGGUGGAAUGCACAGAUAUCAGGAAGAACACCGAUGGCGAAGGCAGGUCUCUGGGUAGUAACUGACGCUGAGGAGCGAAAGCAUGGGUAGCGAACAGG